UACGUAGGUGGCGAGCGUUGUCCGGAUUUAUUGGGCGUAAAGCGCGCGCAGGUGGUUGUCUAAGUCCGGGUGUGAAAUCUCCCGGCUCACCGUGGGAGGGGGCGCUGGAGACGUGGGCAACUGGAGGCAGGCAGAGGUCGGUGGAAUUCCCGGUGUAGUGGUGAAAUGCGUAGAGAUCGGGAGGAACACCAGUGGCGAAAGCGGCCGGCUGGGCCUGUACUGACGCUGAGGCGCGAAGGCCAGGGGAGCAAACGGG
rnacentral:rRNA from 1 species